CACAUAAACUUUGACGCCCAUUCCUAAAGUUGGACGCCUUGGUGACCGAGUAAUAGUAUAUGGAGAAGAAGAGCAUAUUUUACCCCAUAUUGAAUUCCACACACACACACACGUAGAGAGAGAGAGAGAGAGAGAGAGAGAGAGAGAGAGAGAGAGUCAAGGGGCAAGUCAAAUUGGGGAGUUCCACAGUUGGAGGAUCAGUUUGGAAUCAACACUAAGACAUUUCUUGUUUGUCGUAUCUUAUGUGGGAAAGUUUGGCUGGUUGAUCAGUACGUAUGUUACUGUUAGAGCUAGUGUGCUUCUAUAUCUUAUCAAACUAUUUUGAGGGCACAGAUUUGUCUAGUGAUUUUAUAGCAGUUGAGCGUGUUUGGGUUUGAACGACAAGUAAGAAGUGGAGAGAUAAGGUCGUCCUUAACUGGGGUGUACUUUUCAAUGUCCACAUAUAUAUAUGUGCUAAUCCUAAGUUAAAAGCAGGCUGUGAGAGGGGGAUUGAAUUGAUGAGAGAGCUAUAUCUCUUGGGGUAGGUCUUGCACUUGGUCGCUUCGUUCUUUAGCAAUAGUGGUUUGAUUAUUAUGUCUCAGAGUCUACCUUAAUAGGCUUACGACGGGCAGAAAUUAGAAUGAAAAAGAUAGAGUGAACUGGUGCGGCUAGAUGAUGUUUAUUUAUAUAUAUGAACGAGAUGGGAGAAGAUCAUGAUUCGUGGAUCUACAUAACUCUUGUAGAAGUAAGAUAUUCAAAGCGUUAAAGAACUGAUAGAUGGGAAGUAGAAGGACAUUAGAUUAGCCAGAAAAUGAGAACAAUGAGUUAAGUAAACAUCUGGUACAUGUGACUAUGAAAAUCGAGAGGACAUAAGUGCAUCCAAUCAAUUUUUCAGGAUCAAGAGUACUAGUUCAAAUAUGCAUUUGAUUAGAAUCGCCAAGUUGCUACGUGGAGGAAGACUAUACUUAUACUAGCCCUCUAUAGAUUAUUUAUACGAAUGAUGCUGAAAACUUUGAUAUGGCC